GAUGAAGAACGUAGCGAAAUGCGAUAAGUAAUGUGAAUUGCAGAAUUCAGUGAAUCAUCGAAUCUUUGAACGCACAUUGCGCCCGCCAGCAUUCUGGCGGGCAUGCCUGUUCGAGCGUCAUUUCAACCCUCGAGCCCCCCCGGGGGCCUCGGUGUUGGGGGACGGCACACCAGCCGCCCCCGAAAUGCAGUGGCGACCCCGCCGCAGCCUCCCCUGCGUAGUAGCACACACCUCGCACCGGAGCGCGGAGGCGGUCACGCCGUAAAACGCCCAACUUUCUUAGAGUUGACCUCGGAUCAGGUAGGAAUACCCACUGAACUUAAGCAUAUCAAUAAGCGGAGGA
rnacentral:misc_RNA from 1 species